rnacentral:rRNA from 1 species
CCCUUAGAUGUUCGGGGCCGCACGCGCGCUACACUGAAGGGAUCAGCGUGUCUCACCUCGCCUGAGAAGGCCGGGUAACCCGUUGAACCUCCUUCGUGCUAGGGAUUGGGGCUUGUAAUUCUUGCCCAUGAACGAGGAAUUCCCAGUAAGCGCGAGUCAUCAGCUCGCGUUGAUUACGUCCCUGCCCUUUGUACACACCGCCCGUCGCUCCUACCGAUUGGGUGUGCUGGUGAAAUGUUCGGAUCGGCCGUUUGUCGCGGUUUCCGCGUCAUGUGGCUGAGAAGUUCAUUAAACCCUCCCACCUAGAGGAAGGAGAAGUCGUAACA